GACGAACGCUGGCGGCGUGCUUAACACAUGCAAGUCGAACGGAAAGGCCCUGCUUUUGUGGGGUGCUCGAGUGGCGAACGGGUGAGUAACACGUGAGUAACCUGCCCUUGACUUUGGGAUAACUUCUCGAAACUGGGUCUAAUACCGGAUAGGAGCUCCUGCUGCACGGUGGGGGUUGGAAAGUUUCGGCGGUUGGGGAUCGCCUCGCGGCUUAUCAGCUUGUUGGUCGGGUAGUGGCUUACCAAGGCUUUGACGGGUAGCCGGCCUGGGCGGGUGACCGGCCACAUGGGGACUGAGGUACGGCCCAGACUGCUACGGGAGGCAGCAGUGGGGAGUAUUGCGCAGUGGGCGGAAGCCUGCUGCGGCGGCGCCGCGUGCGGGAUGACGGCCUUCGGGUUGUGAACCGCUUUCGCCUGUGACGAAGCCUGAGUGACGGUAAUGGGUAAAGAAGCACCGGCUAACUACGUG
rnacentral:rRNA from 1 species